rnacentral:rRNA from 1 species
GAUGAACGCUGGCGGCGUGCUUAACACAUGCAAGUCGAACGGAAAGGCCAGUGCUUGCACUGGUACUCGAGUGGCGAACGGGUGAGUAACACGUGGGUGAUCUGCCCUGUACUUCGGGAUAAGCUUGGGAAACUGGGUCUAAUACCGGAUAGGACAACUUUCUGGAUAUUGUUGUGGAAAGCUUUUGCGGUAUGGGAUGAGCUCGCGGCCUAUCAGCUUGUUGGUGGGGUAAUGGCCUACCAAGGCGUCGACGGGUAGCCGGCCUGAGAGGGUGUACGGCCACAUUGGGACUGAGAUACGGCCCAGACUCCUACGGGAGGCAGCAGUGGGGAAUAUUGCACAAUGGGCGCAAGCCUGAUGCAGCGACGCCGCGUGGGGGAUGAAGGCCUUCGGGUUGUAAACUCCUUUCGCUAGGGACGAAGCUUUUUUGUGACGGUACCUGGAGAAGAAGCACCGGCUAACUACGUG